AAUAUGUAGGAAUUAAGAUGUAGUAUCCCUGGUUUUGGGUUGCUCGUGGAUUUCAGCAUCUGAAGUUUGUCGACACAUCUGGAGAGUGUUGGGACAAGUCGGAGUCGUUUUCGCGCGAAAUGGACGCAAAACGGACACAGUGCGACGCGAGAGCAGUAUAUUGAUAUUAGAAUCUGCAAAGUGUAGGUUUUCAGUAUGGAGUACCGGUACCAUACAGGGGAGUACCGGUA
rnacentral:lncRNA from 1 species